AGAUUAUUACAUUAGAGAUCCAGUGGAGAGCAGAUGGGAAUUUUCUGACAGCAUCCAGUCACGAGGAACUCCAGUUUGGCCGUUGCUGUCUUAUCCGGCGCGUUUGAGCAGCUCUCUGAAGACGGAUAUUUACCAUCUGCCGUGGUUGCUGUUGUUAUGUUGCUCGUAGUUCUGAACGAGUUUGCAUUAAAAAGAAAAGUGUCCUGGGAGGAGCGUUUCAGCCUGGACGCGGAUGACUUUGGAGAGGACACAAGUUUACAUCUCUACGCAUUUACAUCUCAGAGGCCGGAGUGUGCAGGAAGAACUCAGACACGUGUGGUUACACGGUUUAUGAAAUUUGGGCCAGUUUUGCUCUGAUCAGAGUGUCUAUGUGGAG